rnacentral:rRNA from 1 species
AUGAACGCUAGCUACAGGCUUAACACAUGCAAGUCGAGGGGCAGCAUGAACUUAGCUUGCUAAGUUUGAUGGCGACCGGCGCACGGGUGAGUAACACGUAUCCAACCUGCCGAUGACUCGGGGAUAGCCUUUCGAAAGAAAGAUUAAUACCCGAUGGCAUAGUUCUUCCGCAUGGUAGAACUAUUAAAGAAUUUCGGUCAUCGAUGGGGAUGCGUUCCAUUAGGUUGUUGGCGGGGUAACGGCCCACCAAGCCUUCGAUGGAUAGGGGUUCUGAGAGGAAGGUCCCCCACAUUGGAACUGAGACACGGUCCAAACUCCUACGGGAGGCAGCAGUGAGGAAUAUUGGUCAAUGGACGAGAGUCUGAACCAGCCAAGUAGCGUGAAGGAUGACUGCCCUAUGGGUUGUAAACUUCUUUUAUACGGGAAUAAAGUGAGGCACGUGUGCCUUUUUGUAUGUACCGUAUGAAUAAGGAUCGGCUAACUCCGUGCCAGCAGCCGCGGUAAUACGGAGGAUCCGAGCGUUAUCCGGAUUUAUUGGGUUUAAAGGGAGCGUAGGCGGACGCUUAAGUCAGUUGUGAAAGUUUGCGGCUCAACCGUAAAAUUGCAGUUGAUACUGGGUGUCUUGAGUAUAGUAGAGGCAGGCGGAAUUCGUGGUGUAGCGGUGAAAUGCUUAGAUAUCACGAAGAACUCCGAUUGCGAAGGCAGCUUGCUGGACUGUAACUGACGCUGAUGCUCGAAAGUGUGGGUAUCAAACAGGAUUAGAUACCCUGGUAGUCCACACAGUAAACGAUGAAUACUCGCUGUUUGCGAUAUACAGUAAGCGGCCAAGCGAAAGCGUUAAGUAUUCCACCUGGGGAGUACGUUCGCAAGAAUGAAACUCAAAGGAAUUGACGGGGACCCGCACAAGCGGUGGAGCAUGUGGUUUAAUUCGAAGCAACGCGAAGAACCUUACCAAGUCUUGACAUCGUGACGACAGGGAAGUAACGUUCCCAUCCCUUCGGGGCGUCAUAGACAGGUGGUGCAUGGUUGUCGUCAGCUCGUGCCGUGAGGUGUCGGCUUAAGUGCCAUAACGAGCGCAACCCUUAUCGAUAGUUACCAUCAGGUGAUGCUGGGGACUCUGUCGAGACUGCCGUCGUAAGAUGUGAGGAAGGUGGGGAUGACGUCAAAUCAGCACGGCCCUUACGUCCGGGGCUACACACGUGUUACAAUGGGGGGUACAGAAGGCAGCUACACGGCGACGUGAUGCUAAUCCCUAAAGCCUCUCUCAGUUCGGAUUGGAGUCUGCAACCCGACUCCAUGAAGCUGGAUUCGCUAGUAAUCGCGCAUCAGCCACGGCGCGGUGAAUACGUUCCCGGGCCUUGUACACACCGCCCGUCAAGCCAUGAAAGCCGGGGGUACCUGAAGUGCGUAACCGCAAGGAGCGCCCUAGGGUAAAACUGGUGAUUGGGGCU